UCGAUUGACGAUUCACGCGUGCGGCCGGUGCGUGCAGUGUGCAGCAGUAGCUCCCCGCUGUUUGCCCGAUAAGCAGAGUCAGUCUACAUUCUAGUUGAGUUGAAUGAGAACCAUGAAGUAAGUCACAACGGCUCCGAGCACCUCGAACAAGUCGAGGGAAACGGUGAAGAACUUUGCUCCUGAAACGGAGAGCGGCCGUUGGCAUUGCUGGCACACGAUUUGCACGAAGGUUUUCGCUUCUUCAGAG